ACUAUGGAGAUUUACACAUUUAUUUAAGGAUAAAUUGAUAAUUUUACAUUGCUCCUCAUACCUUUUCAUGGACCCGUGCACUUUAUGCUAGCAAACACGUGUACUUGGUUAGACCCACAGAUUCAUAGUCAUUCUCUCCUCUUACGUUCUAUUGCGUUCAAAUAACUGGACUCUGCUCUCUUUUCUACCCUUUCAAAGUUUCAUGGUUUACAGUUAAUGGCGUAACAGUAAAUGACUCAUCAAUCAAAUAAGACUAGCUACACCUGAUAGGACAUGCAAAAUUCAAGUUAUGGACAACAGUUGAGACUGAGUUAGUCGUGACAAAAAAUAAGAUUUCAGAAUUUUUUGGCACGAUGAAGAGAACUUAAAGCUGCAACUCUCCUACAGACUACAACAAAGUGGCAAACUGGAUUAUUUUUUGAUGACAACUUCAGGCAUUAUGGAACUUGGGAGCCAAAUAAGAUUAAAUAGAAGAAUUCUCAAUUGCGCCACAAAUUGGAAGAACUAAUUGUUGGAUCCAAAAUUGUAAGUGUAAUAGCUAUUCUUACUGGUAAAAGAAAGAGUGAGAAACUUGGCAAAGUUUCUCUAUCAUUGGGUUCAGCUAGAGAUAGUUGGUCUGGAUAAUUCAGGCAUAGCUGCUACAAGGGCUGUUCUUGCUUGGGAUGCUUCAGUUUGGUAAAUGGUUAACAUGAAAAUUUGGGACCAAUACUAGAGUUGUUUGCAUGGUAUGGAGAUCUUGAAAGCUAAAGAAAGGAGAUUUGAGUUUUUCAACUUUCCAUGCAAGUUUAGAGUUGUCUUUAGCUGGAAUUCUUCCCUCAAGCAGUGCAGUAAUGGUUACAACCCAGGCGGGAAGUUGUGGUCGCGAAACAAGUUGAGGUUUUUAUAAAAGAAUUUUUAUCAGAGCUGGCUGCAGGAGUGCUCGAGUUAUGGAGUUAGAUUGUCAUGUUGUCUGUCCUAUGGCUCAUAUCAAAGCGAUGAGGGGCAAGCAAAAGUUCUAUUUCUUUGAUUAAGUGGAAAGCUCUGGAUUGCAAUCAUUGCAAGAAAAAAACAUUUCCUUAAGCUUUGAAUUGGUCGACUAGGUCACCAUAAUGUGUUAUUUUAGACAUUUUCUUGCUGGGUGAUGAAGUGAUUGUAACAUGGACAAGGCAAACUCGUGUCUCCAAGUAGUUGGGCAUAUAAUGGCCACAGAUCAAUUUAGUAGUAUUGAUUCUUAUGGCUGCAGAAUAUUGUUCUUUGGAUUGCAGUGAUGUUGACAUAAUUUAGUCCUGAUGGCUUAAUUAUCCUGUAACAAUUCAUUCGUUUAUUCACAUUUGGUACCCCAGGAACUGAUAUGCCCCGUCUUUUCCAACAUCUUAGAAGACGAAGUUAAGAGGCAUAUCGAAACUUACUUAGGUG